UUUUUUGUGAUAGGUUGAAAAUGUGAAAGCUCUGCUAGAGGUGGAGACAUGGGUGCUGCUUCAGCGGCAGCAUCUGCUAUAUAAUGUGUAAGGAGAUGAGGAAUUCUAAGAUGUGGAGUGCUCUUGGUGUCGGAGAUGAAGACUUGAAAAUGAUCGUAUCCAAUGCCGCCUCGAGUACUUUGAUUUGGGGUGACAAUGAUAUACCCUGAUCCACAACACCACAAACAACAGCACUCUCAACAUCAGCACCAACAUUUGCAACAACACCAGCCGCGUCAGCAGCAAGGUGGAUAUUUCAUAGCCCCCCCCGCCACCAGCCCCAAUGAUGCGUCAGCCGUCGGUAUGCCCCCGGAGUAUCACAACCCAUCUGUGCUCGCUCAUCCUCUUCCUCCUUAUGAUGCUCAUGCUGACACUUUUCUUGGAUAAAAGAUGAGAAAGCUUACACAGAGGAGAGUAGUUGAUUAUACUAGCACUGUCGUGCAAUAUAUGCAGUUUGUCAGGAGCAAUGUCGGUUGUUGAAACACCAGUUGUGAGAGUUUGUGCGUCACCUAACAUAAAACAAAGAAAGUCUUCACACCAAAUGGAUGGGAAUCGGUAAACCAUUCAGAACCUAAAACUCAUUUCCUUGGUAAUCUCCAUUACUUUUUGAAUUAGUAUUGUUAUUAUUAUUAUAUUUUUUGCCCACAAAGAGAGCUUGAUACUAAGAAAAUGAGAAGCUUAUGAAACCACAACAGGGUA